AAAAUUGUUGUAAAAUAAAAGAUGACUAUAGCCAUCUCUUUAAAGCAUGAGCCACUUUCCACCGUUUUAGGAUGCAGAGAAUUUGCCUCGCCAAAUAAA